AAAUAGCCCAGCCCGCACGACCUUCCUCCUCGAUCCAUCUCGACCUCCAUCCCGCCGCCACCUCCUGCCCCGCCCCGCCCAGCCAGCCUCACCGCGCGCCGCCCGCCGCCCACCGCAGCCGUGCCCUCUCCCAUCGAUGCUCCACCAUCCCCUGUAUCCAUGCUUCGCCGUCUGAAUCCCGCCGUCGAGUCCGUCCCGCUCGCCGUGGCCAAUGAUCGCGUCGACCGGGACCGCGUCCCUCCCCAAACGGCGGCGAUGAUGGAGGGUGCCUCCAAGCUCCUGACCGACGGAGUCUCCGGGUUCCCGCUCCUCGGGGCCAGCCCCUCCGCCUUGUCGGGUCGCGCAUCGGCUUGGAGGCCCCUCGCGGCUGCCGCCAGUGCGGGAGUCCUGCGCGGCCGUGAGGGCUGAGGACCAAGCGGCGGGGCCCGUGGUGCGUUCCUGUUGAGGGCUUGCUGGGGUUGGCCGGGAGCUGAGCCGCCGCCGAUGGAUUUCUCGCAGAUCGUUGUACCAUCGUCCCGGUCGCCGCCGCGUCAGUUCCACACCGCUACAGUGCUGCCUACCACCGUCACUCCAUUGGCUUGGAUUUGUUUGUGGCAUGGGCUGGGAACUGUACGGUGUUGUCUGAUGCAUGUUCCGCACUAGGAGGUUUGGUCGGCUGACGCUAGGUAUGAGCAGCUCUUGAGCCUGAUUGCUGGAUGUGGGCAAGCAUCCAUGUAUACUUCUCAACUUGCACUGCUUAUACAACACAUUGCCUGUACACCACGGCCGUGGACAGGCGGACGUGCUCCUACUCCUCACAAGGCACCCACAGUCUUUAUUAGCAAGCCAAUCCAAAACUUUAGCACGCAUUUUUUUGAAAGGACAACUAAGUAUCUUUGUUAGUAACAUCUUUGUCAGAAAUUAGAAAAAACGCCAGUGCAUUAGUUGAGCUAAUCAGCUAGCUUCAUCUCUUGGAUUAUGCAUUGAUAGUAUGGCACAUGUUGUAUCGUUAUAAGCAAUUUUUGUUAGGAGGUAAGAUUUUAGUGUCGUCGUUCAGUUUUUGUUACAUACAAAAUGAAUAUGAUUAGUUAAUUCUGUUUUCUUUUAAGAGGCAUUUCUCUCACCAGCCUUUGUGUUAUCCAUGUGAAUUCCACUAGAUUUAUCAUCCGUGUACCUAAAUUGUGCAUAUUAUCAAAUUUCUGGAAAAAAAGUUGAGCGCUUAUUGUGGCACCACACCUAGAGCUAAAAUCAAGGAACCUUCAUGGAUUUUGUUGACAAAAAAGACAACAAACUUAAUUUAACGGCUUGAAGUCAAUUGCACAUGUCUCAUACUGCAUUGCACCUUGGCCGACACACUCGACCACGACAAGCAGCAGCUCGGGAAGCCUUUGCAAUUCAUGUAUUUACAACAUUUACAGUUCAUGUAUUUACUGUCAUGCAUUGCACCUUCAUGGGUUUUGUUGUACUUCUGCAUUUGUAACAUUUACAGCUUAAUGCAAUCAGGAAUUGGUUAUAGAUUUCAUGUGAUUUAAUUUCUGAAUGUUAACAACAGUGACAACUUGUGACUUUCGUAAGUUUUAUUUCCAUUGAGACAGAGCGGGCAAUGGAUCGUGAGAUGGAAUGAAAUUAUAAGCAAAUUGAUCUGGCCAUCUCUGGUUGUCAGGGAAUCCGUGUGAUCUGUUCUACUUUGACUUGGAGUGUACAGCUAUGAUAUUGUACGCGAUGAGUUUUUUUUUGAUUCUGCUACUAGAGGCCAGUCAGAGGUGGUAAUUAUUAGUGGCAAAAAAAGAGGCGGAAGGCUAUGAAGGAAGUGUUCUUCCCUUAUUUUUUUAUGAAGCUGGGCACUGCCUCGGCUGCAAAGCGUAUGUUGUCCCACGAAGCAGGCCCUCGUUUGCAAGGCUGAUGAGGAUAGCUUCAACUUCACCGCCUAUUCUGGUCGAUGAUGUCAUUGAUAAUAACCAGGAAGUUUUCACCGCUCAGUUCAUCCAGUUGAAUCCUUCUAUUGUUGUUAUUCUAUUCCCUACCCUUUCUUACUUGUAGGAAAUUCAAGUGUGGUACACAUGUGAUUAUCUUCUCCUUCCUUCUGUUGUAUGCAUGUGGUCAUUUGUUAUCCCGAUUAAGAAUCAAGAUCCACUACAUUCUUGAAUAUUGAAGACUGUUUUAGUUGGUCCAGAUUAAACUUGAUAAUACAAUUUCCUUGUUGGUUCCAUCUGAGUUGUAUUAUUGAUUUGGGCAGUUUUCAGUAAUCUUAAGCCGUCUUCAGAUUUUAGCUUCUUCAAUCAUUCUGAAUUAUUUAACCUCAGUAUGAGGUACAUGUGUUCCAAAGAUUAAUCCUGAGAAAUUUGUAGUUGACCAGUUGGGUCUGUUUGAUUUGUUCAGUAGACUGCAACGGCAGUCACCAUUGUUCAGAUCUAUUCUAAAACUGCAUUAUUAGCACUGCAACAUCUUUGUUACUUCAACCAAAUAGUUCAGCCGCGUCUUAUUGAUUUGGACGGGUUCUUACUAAUCUUUAAGCCAACUUCAAAUUUUAGCCUGCUCGGUCAAUUUGGAUUAUUUAGUGUCAAUUUUGAUGCAUGUCUUUAAUAAAAUAAGAAACUGUUUUUGGGUGCUAAAAUAAACACUAAACACUACUUGUUCAUGGCGACUAUGUGUAGAAAGACGAUCACGGUGGAGAUCCCGACGGUCGACGUGAAGCCGGGGUGGAAGAAGGGCACGAAGAUCACCUUCCUAGAAGGAACAAUCUGAUUUUUUCCGUCUUAUUUGCAGCGUAAACUAUGUACACUAAUCAUUAGACCAUCUUUGAAGAUCUGAUGAACAAAAGCAGAAUGGUUCUUUCUAUACUGUUCGACCCCCCCCCCCCCUUGCGUUUUCUCCCAGGGAGUGGGUAGCGUGCAACACUGCCAUGCUCCUCUGCCGCGCAGUCAUCACAGGAUGGGGCGGCGACCUCACCUUCCUAUUCAAUGUUCUGCCGGUAGCGAUGUUCUCUGUCCAGGAGCAUCCGGACAGGGAGGUGCUCCACGCUAUGCGUCUAGGCAUGUACUGCAACGCCGACCACAUGGCUAAGAUGGUCGUUGCCGUCACCGAGUUCCGUGCUCUCUGUUCUUCAUUAAAUCCAGAAAAACUCAACCUUUUUCCCCAUGCCUAAAGUUAUCUGGGAAGAUUUCUCCAACUUCUUUCGGUGUACUCUUGGCAGUAACUCCUGAGAAGUACUCUGAAAACAACAAUACAUAUUUUUCUUCACCAGAUGCGGAAACUAAAAGGCGAGUACCAUGGGAUCAUGAAGUAUAUAAAGCAAAGGAGGAGUUGUACCAUCUCCUCUCCGGCAAGAUCCUUUUUUUUGCUGGGGAAUAAACGAAUUGAAUGCAAGAUUGCAUUGUUACAAGGACAGAGAGUGGACCACCACCUUCAGUUUCUCAGAUUCCCUGUUUGCAUUCGCCAUUCUCAACAAGCACCAGGAUGUGGCUUUGGUUCUACACAAACAAUAUCUUCAGUGGUUUCUAGAUCAAGCCCUAUGUUCUUUAUCUGAACAAUAGACAUUGUAAUUGUUCCAUCCAUUACCUCUGAAAGUCAAGAAUCGAAAGAAAAGUCAUUGGCAUAUCUCUGUCACCAAGGAAGGUUCGCUAGACAGAAAAAUGACCUCUGGUUAUGUAUGAGAUGAUGCAAUGCACAUAUCUCUGAAUGAAGCACAACAUGAAUUUACAUCCUCUAAUGCUAACUGUUGAUCAUUCUUCUCUGAAGUAUCAAGUCAGUAUCUCAUUUGCCCCCUAUUCAUCUGUCAUGUCUGCAUGAAAAAUUAUUGCAAUUCUAAUCCUAUGUUUAAGGGUAGCUAAAUUUCUACGACUUACCAUAUUAUCUUUUUGGAAUAGCAGAUCAACUUUCAACAUGUACUUCUGUUGUAACAUCUCAUUUAUUUUGUGCUAUUACCUGAAAGAGGUGUGGACUGGAGAAAUUCAUGAUAA